CUGGCAGCAAUUCAAUUUCAAACCCUAUUUCCCUAUCAGGUGGUAGUCCUGGCAAAUCGUCUGGGAACACAUCAAGAAACUCUCGGACUACUGGUACUGUGGCUGGUUCCCUAACCUGACUGUCUAGCUCUCUCACAUGAGCUAGAAACCCCUGACAACCCCUCCUAAGCAAUCGACGAGCCUAAAGGGCUGAAAUCAUACCUCUGGGUGUACCUCUCCUGUCUCCUCUGAAGACACACUCUGACCCAUCCUGGUCUCUGAGACUCACUAGCUUC
rnacentral:lncRNA from 1 species